rnacentral:rRNA from 1 species
UACGGAGGAUGCAAGCGUUAUCCAGAAUGAUUGGGCGUAAAGCGUCCGCAGGUGGCAAUGUAAGUCUGCUGUCAAAGCGUCUGGCUCAACCAGAUAAAGGCAGUGGAAACUACAUAGCUAGAGUAAGGUAGGGGUAGAGGGAAUUCCUGGUGUAGCGGUGAAAUGCGUAGAGAUCAGGAAGAACACCGGUGGCGAAAGCGCUCUGCUGGACCUAAACUGACACUGAGGGACGAAAGCUAGGGGAGCGAAUGGG